UAUUCAUUUCUUCCUCCGCCUUCAGUCUCCUCCUAUCCACCUCUAGCCUCGCGCGACCUGCCCACGCUCGCCGGCCAUGCCGCCGCCACUCUCCUUCCUCCACCCACCUCCCAACCCGCCAGUCCUCCAUCCCUCCCCCUUCAACCACCGCGCCCCCCACCGCAUCUCCCUCCGCGCCGAUCCCCCACUCCGAGCGGCAGCGGCCGAGAACCCGUACUCGGCGGCGCCCACCGCGGCGGACGUCGAGAUGUUCCGCGGCGGGGACGGCGUGUGGACGGCGCGGAGCCCGACGGUGGUGGUGCUGUGGGACCUCGACAACAAGCCCCCGCGCGGGCCGCCCUUCGAGGCGGCCACCUCCCUCCGCGAGGCGGCCUCCCUCCUCGGCCGCGUCGACUCCGUCUCCGCCUUCGCCAACCGCCACGCCUUCACCCACCUCCCCGCCUGGGUCUCCGCCGACCGCCGCGAGCGCCGCGCCCUCGACCGCGCCGAGCGCACGGGCGCCGCCGCCCCGCCCGUCCCCUACUCCUGCGCCGUCUGCGGCCGCCGCUUCCCCACCCGCCCCGACCUCGCCCGCCACUUCCGCCAGCUCCACGAGCGCGAGCGCAACAAGAAGCUCGGCCGCCUCCGCUCCCUCAAGGGCAAGAAGCGCCAGAAGUUCCGCGAGCGCUACAUCUCCAACAACACCAAGUACCAGGAUGCCGCGCGAGAGCUCCUCACCCCAAAGGUCGGCUACGGUCUCGAUUCCGAGCUCCGGCGCGCCGGCGUCCAUGUCCGCACCGUCCCGGACAAGCCGCAGGCUGCGGACCAAGCGCUCAAACGCCAGGUGAAGCACGCCAUCGCCUGCGGCGUCGACUGGGUCGUGCUCGUCUCCGAUGACUCCGACUUCACCGACACGGUGCGUAACGCACGCGCUGCCGCCCUGAGGAUGGUCGUGGUUGGGGAUGGGUGCCGCGCGCUCGGGAAGGUUGCUGAUAUUUGGCUGCCUUGGGACAGCGUGCAAAACGGGGAGGUUGAUGAGGAGAUGAUGCGGAGUGGGAAGGUUCCAGAGUUUAGAUACGAAGAGCACGAUGAGCAAGAUGAUGAUGAUGAGUUCAUAGUGGAUUGGGAUACGAAUGAAUUGGAUGAUGUUGUUGAUGACAUUGUUACAAGCAGGACCAAAGUGUUUGGUGCUACAAAAAUGUCUGCAUUUGCCGAAGAGGACAUUGUUGAUGGUAUAUUGGGGCUUCGACAUAAGGAGGAUGACAUGCUUUGGAGUAGCGACGACGAGGAUGAGGAUGGUUAUCUGUGAUAUUUACACGGAUUGGCAGGUAACAAUUGGAUAUGUGCGCGUAUUACUUUUGCUUUCAGUGGAUAUACCAUGCCCAAUUGGCUCUCUAGAUAACCACUGUAGGGUUAGUAGCAAGAUAUUGAGUGUUGCACGCAGUUUGCUUCAGCCUGUACCUACACCUGUACGAGGUGCACAUAUGUUAACAAAUAUUCCUUUUCAUUUUUCAGACUCAUGUUAUCUGCGUUGUUAAUAUACAGUGAUUGCACUGGUUCAUCACAACACCUUUCUGAAUGUUAGGACCAACAAUUCAGUCCCACUGCCCAAUUUUGCCAACUUGGUGACACCUCAAUUCUCAGACUUGCUAGGCAGCAGGUUCUGUGAGGCGCCAGGAGGGAAGUCUCCCUACCGCAGUGAUCAAUUGAUCAACAAGACAAUAUCACUGGCAUGUGUCCUUGGGUUCAUGUUAUUUCUACAUCACAAUCUGCCUCCUGAACUAACUUCACCCCAAGCUUGAUUGCUUUCCUCAGUGCUGUGCUGCAUGCAACUAGUCAGUAAUUUCAGUAUCUGUCGUUUACUCGUUCAGCUGUUGCCACUUCAAUUUUUCCUGUUUUGUCUUCAAUGAUCAUUCAUUCACCUUUAUAAAGAGAGCAUCAUCACCCAACCUUCUUCAGUUGGUAUCCAUUUGUCUGGCAAGUAAACAGUACCUGUAACUUAACCCCUUGCUAAUCUACUAAUUUGAAAUAUCAUAGUUCCUUUUUGCCACUUCCAUCUUGUCACCUCCAUAAGCAACACUGUCUGUUCACCAUAUUCAUAAAAACCCUCCUCGAUGUUCAUCAUGUCAGCAUUUUUCAGUCUCUAAAAGUCUCUCUCUGCAGUUGUUCUCGAACCAAUGUCAUCUGCUAAGCCAUCUACUACUUUUCCGCAAUUGAUCUCCUUGAUUUCUGUGACUAUUUUAUAUUGCCAAUACUCUGUAGCUUUGCAGAAUUAUUAUGCGAGGGUAAGGCUGUCUAGAAAUUCCCUUCCCCAGACCCCACCUUGUGUGGGAGCUUUCAGCACUGGAUGCACCACAGGUAAUAUCUGCAUUUUCUGAAGAGGACAUUGUUGAUGUUAUGUUGGGGCUUCGACUGAAGGAGCAUGACAUGCUUUGGAGUAGUGACGAUGAGGAUGAGGACAGUUAUUUGUGAGAUUCACAUGGAUUGGCAGGUAUCUCUUGUUUCUUCACUUCAGUUGUUGGCACUUCGAUUUUUCCUGUUUGGUCUCGGACGAUCAUUCAUCCACCUUAAUUAAAAUAAAGAGACCAGCAUUACCAACCUUCUUCAGCUGUCCUUUUUUUUGUCAGUUCCAUCUUGCCACCUCCAUAAGCAAAACUGUCUGUUCAUCACAUUUCAUGGAAACCCUCCUCUAUGAUCAUCAGGUCAGCAUUGUUCAGCCUCUGAGUUUCUUACCAGGCCACCUCUCACAAAAAUAUGUACAACAUGUCGGCAGCCAUUUCCAAUUUCAGUCGGAAAAGGCAGUCUGGUGUUUGGGGUACUAUAGGUGAUCAAGUGGUGCUAUCAUAUUACAGGGGGCUUUACACAAAGUUCCGUUACAAUUAAUGCGUGUCUUCGAGAUUUCCUCAUACUGAGCUUAGGAGCACGUGCAUUGUUCAGGGGCUGUACAAAUUCUUCGAUGUCUUAUGUUCAAGAAGUUUCAAAUACCAUUGAGAAACAGAUCGUUGGUUCCGGAAAGACCACCGAAUUCAAAUCAUCAGAACAGCCAUCGCCUGACAUUCAUGAUGCAAUUUGUGGAUAGCAAUCACCCCGCUAAUGCAGCCGCUGGAACCGAAAGAGAGAACUUCAUAGUUGGAGAAAAUCUUAACCAGGACAGAACAGAAAGUGCACCCUCGAGGCAGUCUGAAAGGAACAGAAAACAGUGUACACGUGGACGGCGGGCUGGUGCUGGGUUGCAAAGAUGCUAAUUGAAGAGCGUCUGAAAGGCUGGCAAUGGCAUGUCCUGCAAAGGGUGGGUUUGCAAUGCGGCAUGGUGUGCUGAGAACAUUGCUAAAAUUGUGGAUGCACUGUCAUGGAUGUGUACCUUGAAGAUUAGCCUGAAACUGUUAAUGCAGCGAGUCAAAGACACGAUCACUGCCCGCCUGCUGUUUACAGACAUGUUAUAAUGUUGUCCAGAUGAACUUGUGUUCUCUCCGUUC